UACAGAGGGUGCGAGCGUUGUCCGGAAUCACUGGGCGUAAAGCGCGCGCAGGCGGCUAUCCAAGUCAGUGGUGAAAGCCCGGAGCUCAACUCCGGAACUGCCAUUGAAACUGUUUAGCUUGAGGAUGAGAGAGGUGAGUGGAAUUCCCAGUGUAGAGGUGAAAUUCGUAGAUAUUGGGAAGAACACCGGUGGCGAAGGCGGCUCACUGGCUCAUUACUGACGCUCAGGCGCGAUAGCGUGGGGAGCAAACAGG
rnacentral:rRNA from 1 species